GGAAACGAUAGCUAAUACCGCAUAAAAGACGAUAUCGCAUGAUGUUGAUUUGAAAGGUGCAAUUGCAUCACUAAGAGAUGGACCUGCAUUGUAUUAGCUAGUUGGUGAGGUAACGGCUCACCAAGGCGACGAUACAUAGCCGACCUGAGAGGGUGAUCGGCCACACUGGGACUGAGACACGGCCCAG
rnacentral:rRNA from 1 species